GUUGAAGUGACCCGCAUUCUUCACGGGUGCACUCAAUUACCUGACAGAAUCAGUUGUCACGUCAUUGCGUAAUUGCGGGGCAGUGCCGCCCACUGUUAUAUAUAUGGGCAGGUGACUGCGCCUCUGACGUGCGUCAUACCUUUCUCCCGGAUGCUGUGAUCAGUCAGAUCGUGGUUUGGCGUGGCUGUGACAGAUCGGUGAUCCAUACUCCCUAAUUGUGCGAGUCUGCUGCAUUGUCUGUGCGGAGCUGACGUGUGCUCCCUCCACUGUGGGUGAACACAUCAGUGUCGGAAGUUGCUGUGGACGGCAAGUGAGCCGUGCGCUCCCUCUCUCUCUCGCUCUCCCUCUCCUCACGAGUUGGAAGCGCUGCGCUGCUAUCCUCUGGUAAUUGGGCCAGCGUGUGAAUCGCGGUGCCGCGGCCCUCUAGAAACCUCAGCCUCCAAGCCGUGGCCGACUGCUGUUUUGUCCCCCGCUCUUCUUUUAUUGUUUUAGUUCA